UGUUUAAAGAGAAAGACAACAGCAUGAAUUUGUCAACCUGCUAUUCAUGCAAAAACUAUGCAUUAGCAAGAGCAUCUCCACAAUUACUAUCAGAUUUUUUUGUUUGUUUGUUUUGAAAGGCUACAGUGGGUGAAAGAGCCACAGACUAUCCCUGUCAUUGCUUAGUAUAAUGAUGGUUAUGAUCAUACUCUUCCAUACACACCAUGUUCAAUUUGAACUUUCACUGCUGCAAUUUAAGCUCAUUACUUCUUAUACUAACCAACAUCACAGAGAAAAAAAUUAUCUUCCUCUCUGCAGUACAUUUUGUAUAUUUGAAGACUCAUUCUCUCUCUUCCUCUGAUUCAUCUUCUCUCACCAGAACAAUGUCCAUUCAAACUAAGUUGCAUUUUCCAGGCCCUGGAUUAAAAUCUAAAUUAAUACC